rnacentral:rRNA from 1 species
GACGAACGCUGGCGGCGUGCUUAACACAUGCAAGUCGAACGGAAAGGCCCUGCUUUUGUGGGGUGCUCGAGUGGCGAACGGGUGAGUAACACGUGAGUAACCUGCCCUUGACUUUGGGAUAACUUCAGGAAACUGGGGCUAAUACCGGAUAGGAGCUCCUGCUGCAUGGAGGGGGUUGGAAAGGUUCGGCGGUUGGGGAUGGACUCGCGGCUUAUCAGCUUGUUGGUGGGGUAGUGGCUUACCAAGGCUUUGACGGGUAGCCGGCCUGAGAGGGUGACCGGCGACCUUGGGCCUGCGGGAGGGCCCAGAGUGCUACGGGGGGCAGUGGGGGGAAGCGUGGCGCAACGGGGGGACGCGUGAUGCAGCGGCGUCGCGUGCGGGAUGACGGCCUUCGGGUUGUAAACGGCUUUCGCCUGUGACGAAGCGUGAGUGACGGUAAUGGGUAAAGAAGCACCGGCUAACUACGUG